CCUUGCCCCCCCCCCAAAAAACCCCAUUACCACAGGAGUAUAUCCCCAUCUGGAAUACUGGACUAUAUGAAGCAUUUAUUCAGCUCCACAACCUGUCCUUUCCUGACCAGAAUGACCUGGGAGUCUCCCAGCCAGGCCACGUACAACGUCCGACCCCGCAGGAACGUCACCACGCCUGUUGUGCCACAACGCAGAUGUUCCUCUCGAGCUGAGUAAAGCCCCAACAAUCUUCAACAACAAGUAGGGCUGCCUGAGAGGUAAAACCCGUGGCAAAAUAACGUGAGUAAAACUCUCACUGCUGCUGGUAAAACUCAACAGCUAUGAGCACAUAGUACUAAUGUAAGGCGACUCAUAUCAGCAUUUUUAUCAACUCCUCUCUUCUCUCAUCUGGACUUUGGCAGCUGGACAGUAAGAACAAUGUUUAGAGAUGCUUAAAGGAGUCAAAUCAAAAUAAAACUGUAAAAAUUUUAGUUAAAUUUUUCUGCUGUGUCAAAAGUCAACUUUGUCCCCAUCCUCAGUGAAAAUGAAGCCCUUGUGGAUAGCAAACCCUCAGGGACCUGUUUUACUUUUUCAGAAAGGCAAAUGAAAGAAACGUUCAGUGAGUAACAGAAGUUAGUGGAACAGGGGCUUCAGCUCUCUGUAAUAAUCAAGACGCAGGCUGUGUUUCUACAUGGGCUCGACCUACUAUUGUUAGCUGCAGGUGUAACAGUCUAUCCUGUCUUCGCUUGUCUU